rnacentral:rRNA from 1 species
AGAGUUUUGUUCCUGGCUCAAGGACGACCGCCUGGCGGCAUGCCUAAUACAUGCAAGUCGAACGCUGAAAGCACUCUGCUUGCAGAAGUGCGGAUGAGUGGCGAACGGGUGAGUAACACGUGGGAAAUCUGCCUAGGAGUGGGGGAUAACAUUCGGAAACGGAUGCUUAAUACCGCAUAUCUUCUUAGACCGCAUGGUCUAUGAAUGAAAGACGGCUUUGCUGUCGCUCUUAGAUGAUCCCGCGGCGUAUUAGUUAGUUGGUGGGGUAAAGGCCUACCAAGACAAUGAUACGUAGCCGACCUGAGAGGGUGAUCGGCCACACUGGGACUGAGACACGGCCCAGACUCCUACGGGAGGCAGCAGUAGGGAAUCUUCCACAAUGGGUGAAAACCUGAUGGAGCAAUGCCGCGUGAAUGAAGAAGGUCUUCGGAUCGUAAAGUUCUGUUAUUAGAGAAGAACAAGUCAAGGAGUAACUGUCUUGACUUUGACGGUACCUAACCAGAAAGUCACGGCUAACUACGUGCCAGCAGCCGCGGUAAUACGUAGGUGACAAGCGUUGUCCGGAAUUAUUGGGCGUAAAGGGAGCGCAGGCGGUUGGAAUAGUCUGAUGUGAAAGCCCACGGCUUAACCGUGGAAGGUCAUUGGAAACUGUCCAACUUGAAUACAGAAGAGGUAAGUGGAAUUCCAAGUGUAGCGGUGAAAUGCGUAGAUAUUUGGAGGAACACCAGUGGCGAAGGCGACUUACUGGUCUGUAAUUGACGCUGAGGCUCGAAAGCGUGGGUAGCAAACAGGAUUAGAUACCCUGGUAGUCCACGCCGUAAACGAUGAGUGCUAAGUGUUAGGGGGUUUCCGCCCCUUAGUGCUGGAGUUAACGCAU